UACGAAGGGUGCAAGCGUUACUCGGAAUUACUGGGCGUAAAGCGUGCGUAGGUGGUUCGUUAAGUCUGUCGUGAAAGCCCCGGGCUCAACCUGGGAAUGGCGAUGGAUACUGGCGGGCUAGAGUGCGGUAGAGGAGAGUGGAAUUCCGGUGUAGCAGUGAAAUGCGUAGAGAUCGGGAGGAACAUCAGUUGCGAAGGCGGCUCUCUGGACCAGCACUGACACUGAGGCACGAAAGCGUGGGGAGCAAACAGG
rnacentral:rRNA from 1 species